rnacentral:rRNA from 1 species
UACGUAGGGUGCGAGCGUUAAUCGGAAUUACUGGGCGUAAAGCGUGCGCAGGCGGUUUUGUAAGCCAGGUGUGAAAUCCCCGGGCUCAACCUGGGAAUGGCAUUUGGGACUGCAAGGCUGGAGUGCGGCAGAGGAGACUGGAAUUCCUGGUGUAGCAGUGAAAUGCGUAGAUAUCAGGAGGAACACCGAUGGCGAGGGCAGGUCUCUGGGCUGACACUGACGCUCAUGCACGAAAGCGUGGGGAGCAAACAGG